AGGUGGGGAAGACAACACUGGAAAACCCCAACUGUUGGAGGCAGGCUGGCACUUCAGCUGCGUCCAGCAGCGUGCGCCUGGCUUCCCCCUGGCCUAAGGGGAGAUUCGGGGGUGCCUUUUCCUGUGGCUGGUGUCAGAGUGUGAAGGCUGAAGAUGGGGCACAAAGGCAGAGAGGGCUGCACUGACCCCCAGAGGAGCAGAUGGGGUGGACUGACCUGUCCCAAAGCCAGGCAAAGGGAGUGCUGUGGUGGAUGUGACCCUGAUGGUGACAACAUUGUAAAAGUCCAAAGCCUCUCUUUUGCUUGGAAACUCCAUUGGGAAGACCAAUAGGGACAUGUUGAUGGUGAUGAGUCUGAAAGCAUUUAUUAGAAACUCACCCAGUUGCACUUUUGGCUGCAGGCAGCUGGACCGAUGCAUAAGAUGCUCCUUGUCUCACAGAUCUUGCCAUGCAAAUGAAAGCAUCAGUGCUACAGCAGCGGAUGUGAAGCAGGACGAGGGGAAGGUCUACCCAGUGUCUGAGCUCUCCUUCAUUCCAAACUUCCCAUCCCUGCCAUCCAGUCUGUGCUGAAAAAUCCUUGGGAAUUAUCAGCACCCACACUUGUUGGAAGCUCAGCAUCCUCCAUGGCUGGAGCAUUGCAAGCUCUGGGUGCAAGGCCUUGCUGGAGAUGGAGACCCCAUCGCCGAGAUGCAGAAGUGAUGCCACUGCAACAGCAUGUGACGGAGCUCAGCACCGUGGUGCGGGGAGCUGAGGGCACUGCUGCAGAAGGAUGGUGAUGGGAGAUGUGAUCCUCACCAGGAAACAGCAUUGUCUCUGCAGACACACCAUGGCCAACCAAGGUUCGAAGCACUCAAUGUGCUGCAUUGUAGCAUCUGUUUUUGUGGUAUUUCCAGCCCAGCUGGAAGCAGGAGGCACUUGAAAUUCAGAGAUGGGGGAAAAAAAAUAACAGAUCUGGUGAGAUUGUGUCUUCCUGCCAAAUUCACCAAACCCGGGAUGCGGGGAGAGCCCUGCCGCAGGCGCAGCAUCCAACGCUUCCCCUCUUCCUUGCUUCCUGCUCAUCCCAAACCAUCCUCUCAUUCCUAACUCACUCUCAGGACGCUGCACAAAGCCUGACCCUGCUGUUGGAGCCGGGGACCGGCAGAUAAAGCAGUCACUGAAUGUA